rnacentral:rRNA from 1 species
GAACCAGUACCGUGAGGGAAAGGCGAAAAGAACCCCGGCGAGGGGAGUGAAAAAGAACCUGAAACCGUGUACGUACAAGCAGUGGGAGCACAGGUUUACCUGUGUGACUGCGUACCUUUUGUAUAAUGGGUCAGCGACUUAUAUUCUGUAGCAAGGUUAACCGAAUAGGGGAGCCGGAGGGAAACCGAGUCUUAAUUGGGCGUUAAGUUGCAGGGUAUAGACCCGAAACCCGGUGAUCUAGCCAUGGGCAGGUUGAAGGUUGGGUAACACUAACUGGAGGACCGAACCGACUAAUGUUGAAAAAUUAGCGGAUGACCUGUGGCUGGGGGUGAAAGGCCAAUCAAACCGGGAGAUAGCUGGUUCUCCCCGAAAGCUAUUUAGGUAGCGCCUCGUGAAUUCAUCUCCGGGGGUAGAGCACUGUUUCGGCUAGGGGGCCAUCCCGGCUUACCAACCCGAUGCAAACUGCGAAUACCGGAGAAUGUUAUCACGGGAGACACACGGCGGGUGCUAACGUCCGUCGUGAAGAGGGAAACAACCCAGACCGCCAGCUAAGGUCCCAAAGUCAUGGUUAAGUGGGAAACGAUGUGGGAAGGCCCAGACAGCCAGGAUGUUGGCUUAGAAGCAGCCAUCAUUUAAAGAAAGCGUAAUAGCUCACUGGUCGAGUCGGCCUGCGCGGAAGAUGUAACGGGGCUAAACCAU